GGAUGACUUGUGGCUAGGGGUGAAAGGCCAAUCAAACUUGGAAAUAGCUGGUUCUCUGCGAAAUCUAUUUAGGUAGAGCGUCAAUCGAAUACUCCGGGGGGUAGAGCACUGGAUGGGCUAUGGGGUCCCAACGACUUACUGAUCCUAACCAAACUCCGAAUACCCGGAAGUAAUAAUUGGCAGACACACUGCGGGUGCUAACGUCCGUAGUGGAGAGGGCAACAACCCUGACCUCCAGUUAAGGUCCCCAAGUCAUGGCUAAGUGGGAAAGGAUGUGAGAAUCCCAAAACAACCAGGAUGUUGGCUUAGAAGCAGCCAUCAUUUAAAGAAAGCGUAACAGCUCACUGGUCUAAAUAAGGGUUCUUGCGCCGAAAAUGUAACGGGGCUAAAGCCAUGCACCGAAACUGAGGGCACUAUUUAUAGUGCGGUAGCAGAGCGUUCUGUAAGCCUGCGAAGGGAUACUCGUGAGAGAUCCUGGAGGUAUCAGAAGUGCAAAUGUUGACAUGAGUAACGAUAAAGAGGGUGAGAGACCCUCUCGCCGAAAGACCAAGGGUUCCUGCUUAAAGUUAAUCUGAGCAGGGUUAGCCGGCUCCUAAGGCGAGGCCGAAAGGCGUAGUCGAUGGGAAUGCAGUUAAUAUUCUGCAGCCUGGUGGUAGUGACGGAUCUCGUAAAUUGUACAUCCUUAUUGGAUUGGUUGUGCAGUGAAGAGGUUCCAGGAAAUAGCUCCACCAUAUAGACCGUACCCCAAACCGACACAGGUCGUCAGGUAGAGAAUACUAAGGCGCUUGAGAGAACUAUGUUGAAGGAACUCGGCAAAUUGCACGCGUAACUUCGGAAGAAGCGUGACCUGUAUUUACGCAAGUAGAUAUAGGUGGCACAGACCAGGGGGUAGCGACUGUUUAUCAAAAACACAGGGCUCUGCGAAGC
rnacentral:rRNA from 1 species